rnacentral:rRNA from 1 species
AGUGAACGCUGGCGGUAGGCCUAACACAUGCAAGUCGAACGGCAGCACAGUAAGAGCUUGCUCUUACGGGUGGCGAGUGGCGGAUGGGUGAGGAAUACAUCGGAAUCUACUUUUUCGUGGGGGCUAACGUAGGGACACUUACGCUAAUACCGCAUACGACCUACGGGUGAAAGCAGGGGAUCUUCGGACCUUGCGCGAUCGAAUGAGCCGAUGUCGGAUUAGCUAGUUGGCGGGGUAAAGGCCCACCAAGGCGACGAUCCGUAGCUGGUCUGAGAGGAUGAUCAGCCACACUGGAACUGAGACACGGUCCAGACUCCUACGGGAGGCAGCAGUGGGGAAUAUUGGACAAUGGGCGAAAGCCUGAUCCAGCCAUGCCGCGUGGGUGAAGAAGGCCUUCGGGUUGUAAAGCCCUUUUGUUGGGAAAGAAAAGCAGCAGGUUAAUACCCCGCUGUUCUGACGGUACCCAAAGAAUAAGCACCGGCUAACUUCGUG